CAGGGAAAAAACGACCUCUCACACUAAGUUCCGAAACAGAGAUUCUGGGUUACUAGCAAGUGACAGCGUGAGCCCAGGAGGAGCUGGAGAGAGUGGCAAGCUUGAGUGACAGCCCCAUGCCUGCCCGCUGUACCAAGCCCAGUGUACAAUACCUUGCUCUUCUAAGAUCCCGUUAGGCAUUUUCUUGUCGUUGCUGCUGACCACGGCCUUCCUCUGCUUCCGGAACCUUAAAGGCACACACAAGAUGUGUUAGGUCUCAGCACCGCGGGAACCCCCAAGCCCUGAGUGUGGUGAUACCCACCAGGUGAGCCGGGAAAAGUUCUUUCUGCUGCUCAUGGCUGAGCUGUGUGGCAGCUCAGGCCUGGCCAGCCGCUGUCUGAGCUGUUUGGGCCCACACCCCCAGCCUCCAGCACACUCAUUUCCUCAUAGGAGCUGGUGAGAGCACGUCAGCGCCUGGGGACACUCCUACCUGAAGAAGUAGGCUGCAAGCAGGAACAGGAGGAGGAGCAGGGGCAGCAGCAGCCAGGGUGCCCUCCUAUCACCACAAAGCUCCCAGCCAAAAGGCCCCAUCAAAAGCCUGCUUCUCCAGUGAAUGAGUGUGGCUCCUGUGAACUGGUCCAGAGGAGCUAUGAUCUGCAGCUGGUGAGCACAUGCUAUCAGGAGUGAGCCGGUCUCCCAUGGGAGGCCCUGGAGAUGUCCCCAGUGACUCAUCUGCUGUGUCAGAAGGACCCAGGCAGAAGAGCAUGGGCCAGCCUGGUUAAGUUCUUUCCAGACCCCAUGGAACUCUGCACCAAUCUGCAACAGACAGUGCCCCUCCAACGAGGGACACUCUACAUGUCUAGAGGGUCCCUAGCAAGGAGGCGGAGGAGUAAAGGAGGAAGAGGAAGAGGAAGAGAAAAGGCAGGAAGCACAGUGAGCAAUUGUGCUCUGGGAAGAGACGACAGUCCCUGGAGGACUGCUCUGGAGGACUUUCUGGGAUCUGGUCCAUAAAGCUUCUUGGGCCCGAGGCGUACGAUAAACAUUCCAAGUAGCCCAGUCAGAGCGAACACACAUAGGUGGGCUGUUUUGCUUCCCUAGCAUGAAGUUGUGAGUGUAAUUUUCCCUGCCUUUUCUUCUGUGACGCAAAACUCAUGCACACAUAGGUUUGGUAAAUAAAUUAGACUCACUAAUCUCUCCUGGGAUCCAAGAUUGCAUGACUGAAGGAAGUACUGUUAUUUUACAAAUUAUUAGGGAAGGAAAACAGAUGAACUGAUUAUAAAGAAUAAUCUGCUUGACGAUAUAUCCCAACACAAAUGCUAUGUAUGAAGCGACUGGGUGGAACACACACCUCUCUCAUUGCUCCUGGAGAGCUGCCACACUAGGUAAGCCUCUUCAUCCUGUGUCCUGGCUGCUUGCCGUCCUACACUUUGGACUGGCCCAGAUUGUAUGGGUAUAUGAGGCUAUUUCCCACUUUGCUGUUCCCAGUACUUCUACAUUAAAAAAAAAGUGAUAUUCGGGACACCACCAUGCCUGUAGGAAAUUAGUCUAUGGUCUGAAAACCUUGUGAAGCCCUUGAGAGGGGUGAAAGUUGAACUUCUGACCCACUGGGAAGGCACCAACUACCACUGACUUUUUCUAAGAAGCUUUUCGAAAAAUCUCACGGCACUGAUAGAAGGGACUGCCAAUUAUGUAAGGGAACGGCGAUGGUGAUGUUCGUUCACUGGGAAAGGAAGUCUCAUUAUUCUCCAUGCUAGUCAGCCUUCCGAGGCUGUGACAAGACACACGAGGAAAACAACCUAGGGAGAGCUUCACCCCAAACACCCUACCAGGUUUUGAACCCAUCGGUGGAUUGAUUAAUCAACCAAUGAGAGCUCUUAUGACUCUACGCGUAGCCCAUGGGGCUGGACCCAGACCUUCAUGAGUGUUGGGGGGGGGGGUGUCAUGUUUAAGCCAUAACGGUUUUGGCUCUCACCGCCAGUGUAUCUUCAUAUUAAUAAGAAUGUCCAGAUAUGAACAUUCUUUGAACUUAUGCCAACAAGAGGUGUGGCUUUGCACACGAGGUGUGGCUUUGCACACGAGGUGUGGCUUUGCAUUGAAGGUGCUCUUGCUCCAACACACUUGUUUCCCAAGUCCCUUGCUCACUUGGCUCUCCUGAGCAGCUGCCUCACUAUCACCUGCACUGGCAUCUCACCAGCCUCCUGAGCCCCUCACCAUACCAUGGAUGCCCCGUUCUUCAUAUCAGCCCUCUGCACUAUGCAGAUCACCCUGACUUGAUCAUUGAUGGCAGCUAUCCAUCUGUCUCCCACUCCUUGGGCUCCCUGUCAGCAGCUCCUUUUUGCAUUUGAAUGUGUGGUUCUGUGAGUCAGAGCCACCUGGUUGUCUUGUGUUAGCUACACAGGUGGCUGGAGGAGAAAGAAAGGCCGGGUCCCAACAGGACUUAGUAAAAUUGUCAGAAGAUGGGGAAGCAGGUUAUCUGUAGCUGGGGAGCCAGUGUGCUUGGAGGGGCAAGACGAAUAUGUGCUGUUCCUUCGGGCCGCUGGUCCUCAUGCUGCAGACAACCUUUUCUCUGAACCUGCAUUAUGAGAGACCCAAGAAUACAGCCCCCAAGCUAAGCUGUGGGGUUCUGCUUUGGGGGGACAAGAAGGCGUGAGAGGCAGUUCCCCUACUUUCACGAGUCUGCAAGUAGCCCUGGCCCUGCUCCAUUUCCCCUCUGGUCACAUCCUGUGUUCUGUUCAGAAAGCACCGUUCAGGGAACUGGCAUGCCAGCUGCACCUGGGGUGCUGGCAAGAGACAGCUGUGCAAUGCGGGCAGUGUUUUGGGAGCCCUCCAGGUACAGACACUUUCAAUGGAAGAGUCAGGGAAAGAUCACUUCCUCCCCCUCAUGACUUUUAUUUGACUUUAUCUGGACAAUAAAUCAGCUAGUGACGCCCUUCGAUCAAGAUCCAUAAAUAAACCAACACUCGCAUUACUGCUUCCAAGGGAGACUCACGAGCAUUUCGACAGACUAAUGUUCUCUAUGCUGAAAUCGGCUUCUGUCAUCUCAGAAUAAUUGCCUCAGCAAACAUGCCCAUCACCUCGGCACCCAGCUCUACCAGUGCCCAGUAACUAAAUGUGUGUGUGAAGGCCAGAAGAAGGUAUCUGAGUCCCCUGGAGCUGGAGUUGUAAGAGGCUGUGAACUGCCCAACAGGAGUGCUGGGAACCAAAUUCAGAUCCUCUGAAGGAGCAAGAGUAAGAUCUCUUAACCACUGGGUAUCUCUUCAUCCCCUUCUGUCUCCUUUUCCUUUUCUUUCCUUUCCUUUAUUCCUUUCUCCCUCUCCUGUCUCCAUUCGGGGACUUCCUAAAGGCCAGCGAGAGCCUCUAAUUACAUAUAUAACGACAAAUCUCACCACUUCUACCUCCUGCCUAGUUCAUCUGUCAGACCCACUAUCCCCAGGGAAUGGUUGUCAUCAGCAGAGGUUCCAGCCAACUCUGCUUAGCUUCCAGAAGUAGCAAGAACCAUCUGCACGAACAGAGCCACAGACUAUGGAGCCCGGUUGGGUCAAUGAAACCUGUUUUAAUUGGACCACAAGCCAGGAGAUUUAAGUGACAGAGAUGACAGGGAUGUGACUUACAGCUAGAGGCUGCUGCACAGACAUCAUCGAUCUACCUGCCUGCUGCAAAGCUUUGUGGGAAGAAAUCACACACAAGGAACCCAGCACCACCAGGAAGCAGCCUGGUGAUUCCCACCCAAUUGAGACCAAGAGGAAACAGGCUGGGGAAUUUCCUUGUGCCCUCAUGUAGGGCUCAAUGGACUGACUUAUUCCCUCCAUAGCCACUAGGAGUAGAAAGUUCUAGAAAGCAUAUUCUAGAGGUGAAGGGAUGAGCAUUAUUUUCUGUGACAGUGACUUGAGCAGCUUAUCAAAGUUCUCAGGGAAACAGUCUGCCCUCAUGAUAGGUGUUCGGGUGAUAAAAGAGACAUGCUUUUGUCAAAAAUCCAUCAAACCUUAGGCUUGAGGUCUGUGCAUAUUUGCCCUUAUUAUGUAAUUCUACCUUUAGAAGAGGGCUGCUUUCAGAACACAGUGGAAAACGGGGCAUGUAGCUCAGUGGGCAGAAUGCUGGUAGCAUCCAUGAGAUCCUGGGUACCAUCUACGGCAUGAGAUAGAAGAUCAGUGAGGCCACAUGCACACCUGUAACCCACGCACUCUGGAGGUGGCAGCAAGCUGGUCUGCAGCUCAAGGUCAUCCUUGGCUAUGUAGCUCAUUCAGGGUCCCAAGGCAGGCCGAGUUACAAGAAACUCCAGCUCAAAAACAAAGAGACCAAAGCCAGUGCCUGGCUCCCUUCUAGGCAGCAGGUUCCAAUGUGUAGCUUCUAUACUAUGGUGUAUUCUCAGUCAUAGAUCAGCACCCUGACACCCUCCAUGCCAGGUAGGGAAACAGCUCUCUGUGUGUCUUGAAGGGGUCAAGGCUACAGGCAGAAAAGGUGCUAUCCAAAUGCUACUGGUAUGAAUUCAUUACUGUGACUCUAUCUUGCCCUGCUGGUGGGCUGCACUAAACCUUUAGUGGAGAUUGUCCAGGAUCUAGAGUAAACCCUUGCCUAUGGUCACAGCAGGGAUAAAAGCAGCACAGGGAGAGACAGCCCACGCACGGAGAGUGGUAUUCAGGCCAUCUUACAGAAUAUGGAGCUGAUUGAUUUGACUACACUGUCUGUCCGCUGAGUUCUCGAGACCUACCUGCCUCCUUCUUCUGACUCCAGCUACAUCUGCACUCUACCUUGAUAUAGGCUCAGGGGAUUGGAACUCAGCUCCUUGAGCCUCCAGAGCUA
rnacentral:lncRNA from 1 species